GCUGCGGAGUGUUAUAUAAACGGUGGUAGCUUUGGCAAAACCGGACACGAUGAAACAGUAA
rnacentral:sRNA from 15 species